rnacentral:tRNA from 1 species
UGGACGUAGACCGAUCGGCAUUAGGUAACGGGCUUUUAACCCGUAUUUGCAGGGUUCGAUUCCCUGACGUUCAACCA